rnacentral:rRNA from 1 species
CUACGUGCCAGCAGCCGCGGUAAUACGGAAGGUCCGGGCGUUAUCCGGAUUUAUUGGGUUUAAAGGGAGCGUAGGCUGGAGAUUAAGUGUGUUGUGAAAUGUAGACGCUCAACGUCUGAAUUGCAGCGCAUACUGGUUUCCUUGAGUACGCACAACGUUGGCGGAAUUCGUCGUGUAGCGGUGAAAUGCUUAGAUAUGACGAAGAACUCCGAUUGCGAAGGCAGCUGACGGGAGCGCAACUGACGCUUAAGCUCGAAGGUGCGGGUAUCGAACAGGAUUAGAUACCCUGGUAGUCCGCACAGUAAACGAUGGAUGCCCGCUGUUGGUACCUGGUAUCAGCGGCUAAGCGAAAGCAUUAAGCAUCCCACCUGGGGAGUACGCCGGCAACGGUGAAACUCAAAGGAAUUGACGGGGGCCCGCACAAGCGGAGGAACAUGUGGUUUAAUUCGAUGCAACGCGAAGAACCUUACCUACUCUUGACAUCCAGA